rnacentral:rRNA from 1 species
AUUGAACGCUGGCGGCAUGCCUUACACAUGCAAGUCGAACGGCAGCAUGAUCUAGCUUGCUAGAUUGAUGGCGAGUGGCGAACGGGUGAGUAAUACAUCGGAACGUGCCCUGUAGUGGGGGAUAACUAGUCGAAAGAUUAGCUAAUACCGCAUACGACCUGAGGGUGAAAGUGGGGGACCGCAAGGCCUCAUGCUAUAGGAGCGGCCGGUGUCUGAUUAGCUAGCUGGUGAGGUAAAGGCUCACCAAGGCGACGAUCAGUAGCUGGUCUGAGAGGACGAUCAGCCACACUGGGACUGAGACACGGCCCAGACUCCUACGGGAGGCAGCAGUGGGGAAUUUUGGACAAUGGGGGCAACCCUGAUCCAGCAAUGCCGCGUGUGUGAAGAAGGCCUUCGGGUUGUAAAGCACUUUUGUCCGGAAAGAAAUCGCACUUACUAAUAUUAGGUGUGGAUGACGGUACCGGAAGAAUAAGGACCGGCUAACUACGUGCCAGCAGCCGCCGCGGUAA